rnacentral:rRNA from 1 species
AACGAACCGUGCGAACGUUAUUCGGAUUCACUGGGCUUAAAGGGCGCGUAGGCGGGCAUUCAAGUCUGUGGUGAAAUCCUCCAGCUCAACUGGAGAACUGCCAUGGAUACUGGGUGUCUCGAGGGUGGUAGGGGUAUGCGGAACUAUCGGUGGAGCGGUGAAAUGCGUUGAUAUCGAUAGGAACUCCGGUGGCGAAGGCGGCAUACUGGACCACUUCUGACGCUGAGGCGCGAAAGCCAGGGGAGCGAACGGG